UCUCUAGAUAGCAUCUUAAGUCUCUCACUUCUGGAAAGCAUCUCUACUCAAGAGAGAAUUCAGAUGUGUUAGAUUUAAACAUAAGGGAAAGGGCUUUCCUGAUUUUAGGCAUUAGCAAUGUGUUCUUCAAAAAUGUUUAGCCUCCUGGGGGACUGAAUGUAUCAGUUAAGAGGUCCUGGGAUUCCCAGUUUAGAUUAUUUCAGAAAAUUUUGGCCCAUUUUUCAUUUAUAGUUACACACGAAAAUACACGUUCCAUUACAUAUAUAGAAGAUAUGUGUUGCUUACAAGUAUAUAACUAGCAGCUCUGAGUCCAAACUUUUAGCAAUUAUAAGUCAAAAUGAAGUCAUGUCUUACAAGUGAACUCAUACAGUUUUCAUGUGUUUGGGGCAGUUUUUGAAUUAUUUGAAGUCUGAAAGAAGUUUUUUGUUUAAUUGAAUCAAUGGUGCUAUAAUACAUACAGGUUAUCUAAUCCAAUGCGAACAAAACUGCGGAGGUAAAAGCCUUAUUCAGAACUGCUCUUCACACAGGCAGAUAAUGUUUUAAUGCAUAUAAGCACAUAUAUUUACAUAUAUGGCAAAAGAACACUGAAAUCAGAAUUUUAACAUUAGCCAGUCUCUUUCAGGCAAGUGUUCAGUGCUACGCUUCUGAAUAAUUGUCUUCCCUUGAGACUGGUAUUUGCUUUAGUUAUCGCUUUAGUUAUUAACUUCUACAAUCCUGUUUUCAAAUGUGACAGCAGUGUUUGGAUCAAGUUCAACUCUGAAUUCAUUCCAGUAAUGCCAGCAUAGUUUGCAUGAUCUUUUCUAUAUUUGUGUGCAGCCGUGGGUUUUUGAUGUAUGCACAAACCAUGUCUAGCAAUAGAUGAAAUUGUGUCUAUCAGUAUUAGUGUCACGGCAUUGAGGGAAUGAUUUCUUAUGUCGCUCAUUUUCUCCAAGACCCUCUGUGAUAGCACGAUGAGAUAAGAAUACAUUGUCAACUGCAAGUCCAAAUUUUCUGCCCCUUUUCUUGUUCAAAAGCAGGCAAUUUUAAUUUGGCAAGCUCUGUACAAAUCCAAUCACCAUUUGGAACUCCAGGAGGAUUGUUCUACCUUGAUGAGUAACAAGAUACAUUGGAAUGUGCUUGGGAUUGUUCUUUCAGCCCUGGCAGAUCAUAAAGGUUUGCUCUGACAAAUGCUACCUUCAAGAACUGCUUUUUCUAAGUAUCAGAGGACUAGUGGUGCAAUACACAGCCUGUACACCAUCUGCAUCCCAAAUUUCUUAAUGUACUUGAUGAUUAGAAGCCAAAACUAUGUGGUAAGGAAGCUAGGUUGAGUGCCUUUUAAUAAGGUCUCAUGGCCUUAAGACCUCUCCUUCACUUAGUACUGUUCCCCAGGGUGCUCUUCAGGCCUCCCUCAUUCUGCGCCUCAUAGAUACAUCAAGAGUCCUCUUACACUAAAGAGCAAAACUUGAAGCCAUCUCCAGAAUUCUAAUUUUUGUGCAUCAGCAUCUGGAAAUCUCGGCAUUUUUGGCAAAACACAGCUGGACUCCUGGAUGUGCUACAUCUUGAAAGAACUGGGAGGAAGACCUGGGUAUCUUCUACCUCUGGUGCUUUCAUCAGAGCUUGAGUGAAAAGGCUGGACUAUAUUUGACUUGUUCACUGUCAACUGCUGGCUUUACAAAAGUCUCUUCCAGGAAUAGAAUGGUAAAGGCAGCUUCCAACUUCUGGCAGUGCAAACAGUUGGACGUAGUAAUGGUGGUAAAGGCACUUCGGAGUCUGGAGGAGGACAUCUGCUCAUGGCCUAACAUGAAGUUAUCUGAGACAUUGAGAAAACAAAAGCAAGUUGCAAGAGAAGCACUGGAUAUGGACUGAUCCAAAUAAAGGAUUCAUCUCUGAUUCCACUGUUUACCAUGGAUGGAAGUUUCAACUGGAAUUCAUUGGUUACAUCAACGUGUCAUUUAGCAUCAUGAGGAGAACCUUCUCCGAUGAAAACGUCUUUAAUGCUCCUAAAAUUACAGAGGUACCUGGGUUUGCAGCUGUAUAAACUACAUACCUCUUCUGCUUUAUGAUUUCAGAAGACAAAAGAAAAUGAGAAUGAGCAAAUAAAAUGCCAUCCCUCUUCAGACAAAAAAAAAAAAAAAAAAAGUCUAUAUUAGAGUUCACAGAUACAUCUGUUAGCUUUCAGGCAUUAUUCACAGCAACAACGUCUGCCUCUUCUGCUUUCCUCACAGCAGGAAAGUGAAAAGCUGAAAAACAACUGUUCCCUUUACCUCUCCCCAACAUCUAAUAUUUUCUUCUCCUUAGUCAAGUAUAUAGCUCUGUCUUCGCAUCUGUAUUUUCUCAGUUGUUGUAAUCCAGCAUUCUCUGGGCUGCCUUUUGCUCUCUGUUCCAAGAUAUAUUAUUACCUCCUGUAUAUUAUGCUCUCUUCCUUGUUUUGUACCCCACUACGUUUCUGGCACAUUACAUGCCCCAUGUGCUGGAUGAGAACAUUACCUGAUCCCAUGGUCGUAAAUAACUCUGUUAAUAGAUGUAGAUUAAUGCCAGGUUUUGAAUAAGGCUACUUCUACAGCUGACUUUCAAGUGUAUGAGUACAAACCAGCCUCAUCUGAACCGGUUUUCACUGCCACGGUGCUUUAUCCUGCAAACUGUAAGCAGGAUCCCUUGGUCCCUAUCUCAAGACAUAACCCUAUGAAUUAACAAAAAGCAGUAAGAUCCCCUGUCAAUCCCCCCAGCCACUUACUCAGCUAGCCAACUGCAUGCUGCUUGAUAGGAUGUUUUUAACUGAUAUCUCCAGUCCCUAUUGUAUUAGACACCAAAAGUACUUAGUAGCUGUACGUGGUCUGAUGUAUUUUGCAAGGGAUACACUCACUGGUUAUUAACUGGAUAAAACCUGGCAUUAGAUUGGCUUUGUUUAAUUUCUAACGUUAUUUACUCUGCGAUAACUGACUAACCUCAGUUAACAUUGUGAUUUGUUUGCCCUGUAAUGACCAGAUAUUCCAUUACAUUAUGUAAAUUAUUUGCAUAGUGAUUGUGAUUUAAUGUUAUUGGUAAUUAGAAUUAUUUGCCUGCUGGUAAUGCUGUAUAAAUGAUCUGUCAUUAAUCACGGAGCACGCCUUACCAAGAGCUCUAAUGAGAAAAGCUGCAGUAUAUGUCACUAAGCUAUCCUUAUCCUAUGGGCCAUUGUUUCACAUCACAGGAAACUCGUUUCUGUAUUUAUUGAUCAUUUAUUGAUUGUUACCCUAAAGACAUGGGACUUUGUAAUUGUUUCUGUAUUCUUUGAUGUAGGAUAUCACCUGAGAUCUUUCAGACUGAGUCACAACAAUCAAAACAUAUAUCUGAUAAAAUUUCCUCAUCAGAUUUUGGCACCUGUAGUUUUGAAUCACACUGGUAGUUUCACCUUUCAAAGGAGGAAAAUCCAUAGUCCAAGCCCCUCACAUCAGUAUCCAUGGAGUCAAAGGCACAUCUUUGCCAAAGGGGA
ensembl:lncRNA